rnacentral:rRNA from 1 species
CCUACGGGGGGCAGCAGUGGGGAAUAUUGGGCAAUGGAGGCAACUCUGACCCAGCAACGCCUCGUGAGCGAUGAAGGUCCUCGGAUUGUAAAGCUCUUUAAGCGGGGACGCAGGAAGUGACUGUACCCGCAGAAUAAGCCUCGGCUAACUACGCGCCAGCGGCUGCGGUCAUACGGAGGAGGCAAGUGUUAUCCGGAAUGCCUGGGGGUAAAGGGUGCGGAGGGGGUUGGGCAAGUUGUUAGGGUAAUUCCGGGCGUCAACCUCGGUGCUCAUACCAAAACUGUUGAACUUGAGUGCAGGAGGGGUAAAUGGAAUUCCCAGUGUAGCGGUGGAAUGCGUAGAGAUUGGGAAGAACACCAGCGGCGAAGGCGAUUCACUGGACUGUAACUGACACUGAGGCACGAAAGCGUGGGGAGCAAACAGGAUUAGAUACCCCAGUAGUC